rnacentral:rRNA from 1 species
UACGUAGGGGGCAAGCGUUGUCCGGAAUCAUUGGGCGUAAAGCGCGUGUAGGCGGGACGGCACGUCGGUCGCUGAAAGCCCCCGGCUCAACCGGGGAACGGGCGCCGAUACGACCGUCCUGGAGGGACGUAGGGGGACCUGGAACUUCCGGUGGAGCGGUGAAAUGCGUUGAGAUCGGAAGGAACGCCCGUGGCGAAAGCGAGGUCCUGGACGUUUUCUGACGCUGAGACGCGAAAGCCAGGGGAGCGAACGGG